AUGCAUUCUGUUCAAUCUAGAAUACUUUACAUCAGAGUUUCAUUGCCAAACCUGCUGUGUGUGUUCUGUUUUGUUUGUGCAAUGCAGAUGACAAAGGAACAGCUUGCAAAAUUGUGCAAGACCAUUGUCAACUUCAUUGCACAGACCACCCUGCAGAUCCUGCUGCCGGCCCUGGCCCGCAUUCUAGGGGUGACGGGCUUUUAUGACAACGCUGACUCACUCAAGAGGGGCGGCAGUGCAAGAUCCUUCACUGCCUUUGAGCAGAAAAGACUAGAACUCAUCCAGGAAGUUAAAUAUUUGGCAAAGGAGAUGUGUAACUGUGGCGGCAGGGCUCUCCGACCAAGGUCUAGCACACCCUCUUCCAAGAGUUCCCAGACCUCACUGAAAGUCCACCUGGGAAUGCCAGAGGACAGUAUCAUCAGCAGUGUCCAGGAGCAACUGUCAAAAUCUGACCAAAUGGUGGCUGCAGGACAGCUUUCACAAAUAGAUAAAGUGGUUGGAACUAUGCUGGAGAACAUUGAGAAGAUAAGCAGCGAAUGUGGCGAGGAAUUGGUCUAUCAAGAGUCACUGCGGUCUUCCUCCUCGUUGUCAUUCUCAACUGCCAAAUCACAGAAGACAGAGUGGGAAUUUGCACUCCCAUUCCUUCUGAGUUACCCGAGAGUACUGCUCAGCCCAUUGUAAGAUGCUCAGUCAUUGACAUGAGCGAAUCUACUAAGCCAAAAACAAUGGUGUGUGAUGCCAGAACAAGCAUGUUUGCCAUAGCCGAUACCAUCAUGAAGAAGGUAUAUCCAGAGGCAGAAGGGCAGGUUACAUCUCACCCUGAUCUAACAGAUCCAAUAGCUAGACUGGAGGAGCUCAUAUCUCAGGGUAGGAUUGGUGCUCUCUCCCGUGAUCUCAGUCACCAAGUCAACCGCAUAAUUUCCGAUAGCAACUUGACCCCUCUGGGACUGACAGUGGCGGCUGGAAAGAGUGCAUCUGAUACCAUCCUUUCGAAGCUGAAGAGGAAUGACAAGGUGGGGAAGCCCACAACUUACGAGCUGGUUCAGCUGUUUGUAGAGGAGUCUGUUAAGUGCCUCCUGCUUCCUAGUUUUGUGCCCUAUUCAACUUCAAUGAGUUUGGCUCAGGGGGCCAAGGUGUUGGCUAGAGUGUCUGAAGAUAGAAUUUCAUGCUCUUCUUCUUCUUCAUCAGUAUUUAGUGACAG
rnacentral:lncRNA from 1 species